AGAACGAACGCUGGCGGCAUGCCUAAUACAUGCAAGUCGAACGAACACUUCGGUGUUAGUGGCGCACGGGUGCGUAACGCGUGGGAAUCUGCCCUUGGGUUCGGAAUAACAGUUGGAAACGACUGCUAAUACCGGAUGAUAUCGAAAGAUCAAAGAUUUAUCGCCCAGGGAUGAGCCCGCGUAGGAUUAGCUAGUUGGUGAGGUAAAGGCUCACCAAGGCGACGAUCCUUAGCUGGUCUGAGAGGAUGAUCAGCCACACUGGGACUGAGACACGGCCCAGACUCCGUACGGGAGGCAGCAGGUAGGGAAUAUUGGACAAGU
rnacentral:rRNA from 1 species